GUGCACCAGUCGCGAAACCUCCACAAUGCACGCAAGUGCGAUGGGGCUACCUCGAGUGCCGCCUGAUGAAGGCGGCUUUUCCACGGUGUAAACAGCCGUGGGAAUAAGAGGGGGGCAAGGCUGGUGUCGGCCGCCGCGGUAAUACCAGCCCCUCGAGUGGUGGGGACGAUUAUUGGGCCUAAAGCGUCCGUAGCCGGCCCGAUAAGUCCCUCGUUAAAUCCAGCGUCCUAAGCGCUGGGCUGCGGGGGAUACUGUCGGGCUAGGGGGCGGGAGAGGCCGGCGGUAUUCCCGGGGUAGGGGCGAAAUCCGUUGAUCCCGGGAGGACCACCAGUGGCGAAGGCGGCCGGCCAGAACGCGCCCGACGGUCAGGGACGAAAGCUGGGGGAGCGAACCGGAUUAGAUACCCGCGUAGU
rnacentral:rRNA from 1 species